AUACGGAGGAUGCAAGCGUUAUCCGGAUUUAUUGGGUUUAAAGGGUGCGUAGGCGGAUGAUUAAGCGUGAGGUGAAAUGCCACUGCUCAACAGUGGAACUGCCUCGCGAACUGGUUGUCUUGAAUGCUCCUGCCGUGGGAGGAAUGUGUGGUGUAGCGGUGAAAUGCAUAGAGAUCACGCAGAACACCGAUUGCGAAGGCAUCUCACGAAGGGGUGAUUGACGCUGAGGCACGAAAGCGUGGGGAUCAAACAGGAUUAGAUACCCUGGUAGUCCACGCAGUAAACGAUGAUAACUAACCGCUGGGUCGUAGUGAUUCAGUGGCCAAGCGAAAGCGAUAAGUUAUCCACCUGGGGAGUACGACCGCAAGGUUGAAACUCAAAUGAAUUGACGGGG
rnacentral:rRNA from 1 species